GUCUCUGAGGGAAGCACAUAUAUUAAAAUCGAAACAAUGCAAUGAAGAUUAGCAUGGCCCCUGUGCAAGAGUGACACAGAGACUUGUGAAGUGUCCCAUAUUUUU
rfam:Pteropus alecto contig162635, whole genome shotgun sequence.